rnacentral:lncRNA from 1 species
AUGGGGCGGGGGGUGAGGGGGCGUAAUAAAAAACAAAGUCUAGAGUGGAAAGACGAGACAGCACAAAGGCAGUGGAGUAGAAAAGUAGGCUUGAUUUUUCUAGAACUGCUUCAAAAGGAAUCCUGGGGGAGCCCUGCAGGUGGGCGCAGGCGAGGAGACGAUACUCAGCUGCUCCCAGCAGGGCGGGGGGUGCUCGAAACUGGAGCCGCGCAGUCGGGGCUCCCCGCCGCACUACUCGCCCCCCUCGGCACUCCUCGUCGUCCCCAGCUCUCCCCACGCGCUCCUCUGACCCCUCCGAUCUCCCCGACGCCACCCCGCGCUCCAGGGAUCUCCCUGCUCGCCCGCCAGGCCAACCAGCCGGCGAGCCCGGGCGGCCCGGCGCCCUCCCUGCGCGCAGCCCCCAGCGGCGCGUCACUGCGCGGCCGCCACGGCGCGCCGCUCGCCCUCCUCCUCCUCCUCCUCCUCCUCCUCCUCCUCCUCCUCCUCGCCGGCUCUACGCGAUCCCGCUCGGGGAGGCGGGGAGGCGGGGAAGCAGCCGGAGCGCGACCGCUGCGGCGGCCACCGUGCAGCCGCGGGUCGGAGGCGCAGUCCCUAGGCCCUGGAGCCCGGCCCGGCCCCUGGGGAGUCGGCGCCGUGCCCCUAGAGCUGCCACGCCGGCCCCUGCCCUGCGCGAAGGGCGCGGAGAUAGAAUGAACCAGUAGUGCACUGUGAACCUGGCUUGAAGAAGUUCUGUGUAAUUUAGAGAUUAUUUUGUAAGUACAAUAUUAUUUAUUUGUUUAACAUAUAUAUGAAAGAAUGACUUGAGAUAAGAGAAAACCAUGUGAUACUUCCUCUCCCUGAUUUUCUAGAGGAACUACGCUCUGAUCAUACAAUCUCAUUCCAUUUUUUUUUUUUAAGAUUGGCAACUGAGCUAACAACUGUUGCCAAUCUUCUUCUUUUUUUUUCCUUUCUGCAUCUUCUCCCCAAAUCCCCUCAGUAUGUAGUUGUAUAUUUUAGUUGUGGGUCUUUUUAGUUGUGGCACAUGGGACACCUCCACAGCCUGGCUUGACGAGUGGUGCCAUGUCCACGCUCAGGAUCCGAACCCGCGAAACCCUGGGUCGCCACAGCAGAGUGCAAGAACUUAACCACUCGGCCACAGGGCUGGCCGCUCUCAUUCUUAAUUGUAUGCUGAUGUGCAGUUUUUUCUGCUUUUUAUUCCAAGUACCUCCUGUCUGUUCCUAGCUAGAUGUAGAUUCCUUGAGUGUGGGCAUCAUGCUUCUCUUGUCCUUUAUCUCCUAUGUGCAAAGCAUGUAAUGGCCUAGAUAAAUUCAUGCUGGGUCACAGCAGGGUAGAUCUGCCUUUAGAUUAUAGUUGCAUCAUUCCUUGAUUAAUUGAUUAAUGAGAUUUUGCUCCAGUGUCUCAGCACCAGAUAGUAGUUACCUAUAGCUUGUGGAGAUGAGUUGCUCUUAGGUCUCUGUAUGGAUGAGUUCCACAGGAUACGGACACACUUCUUGGGUUUUCUUCUCCCCUCCCCUCUAAAAGCAGUACACACCUUCAUGGUGUCUACAGCAUCCCAAAAAGACAAACGGGUUGCUUUCUAAGGUUCUUCAAGAGUUACACACAACCGAUCAUUUUUUGGUUUGCAGUAUUAAUAAAUUUAGGUCUUUGGUUGGUUUUAAUCCA